GCCCCCGUAGCUCAGUAGGAUAGAGCAACGGCCUCCGGAGCCGUGCGUCGGGUGUUCGAAUCACCCCGGGGGCGCCA
rnacentral:tRNA from 1 species